GGUGAGAUGGCCGAGCGGUCUAAGGCGCUACGUUCAGGUCUUCCUGAGGUCAAAAUCGUAGUCAAGUAAUUGGCGUGGGUUCGAAUCCCACUCUCAUCA